GACAUAUAGUACAGUGAUGCUUAACCUUGCAUGCAUGAACUUUUUUUUUUAAUUUUGAAAACUAAUUAUUUUUCUUGUAAUCUUAAGUAUUUUAUUUUAUUCAUUUAAAACAUGGGGUUCCUGGAUUACCAGGUUUAGGACCCAGAUUUAGAAUCCCUGACCUGGUCCACCAUCCUGAUUUUGCAGAUAAGGUUGUCCCCUGCUCAGUGUUACCCAGGUAGCAUCAUUCCAGCCUCCUGGCUCCAAGGCUCUGCUCUUUCCUCUGCACCAGAGCAUCUCCCAACACCAGAACUAAGGGAAAAACCAAGCCAUGGGAGGAACAAGGUGAUGGCAAAAGCCACACUCCUUUCCCUUGGGAACUUUUAGACUAUGAAGAUAGGAGGGUCUGCUUAUCUACGAAGGACCUCAGCUACACAAGCAUUAUGCUAGCCUGGCACAGACUGGCUGGCAAGGACACACAAGGAGUCCAGCUUGGGGUGCAACCACAAAUUAUGUCAACUCAGGGAAAACUUCAUCCUUGACACAUCCAGGGCCUCCUGCAUGUUCUGGGUCCAAGAUUUCUAAAACUACAACUCAAAAAGAUAAGAUCAAGCAGACAAGAUAAUCUUCCUAAGACAAUGAAGCCGUUUCCCGUGAGGACUUCUCUGCUGUAUAAAAGAAA